AGUGAACGCUGGCGGUAGGCCUAACACAUGCAAGUCGAACGGCAGCACAGUAAGAGCUUGCUCUUACGGGUGGCGAGUGGCGGACGGGUGAGGAAUACAUCGGAAUCUACUUUUUCGUGGGGGAUAACGUAGGGAAACUUACGCUAAUACCGCAUACGACCUACGUGUGAAAGCAGGGGAUCUUCGGACCUUGCGCGAUUGAAUGAGCCGAUGUCGGAUUAGCUAGUUGGCGGGGUAAAGGCCCACCAAGGCGACGAUCCGUAGCUGGUCUGAGAGGAUGAUCAGACAGACUGGAACUGAGAAACGGUACAGACACCGACGGGAGGAAGCAGUGGGGAAUAUUGGACAAUGGGCGCAAGCCUGACCCAGCCAUACCGCGUGGGUGAAGAAGGACUUCGGGUUGUAAAGCCAUUUUGUUGGGAAAGAAAAGCAGCAGGUUAAUACCCCGCUGUUCUGACGGUACCCAAAGAAUAAGCACCGGCUAACUUCGUG
rnacentral:rRNA from 1 species